rnacentral:tRNA from 1 species
GUUCAGCGGUAGAAUGCCCCGCCAAAGGCGGGGAGGUCGAGGGUUCAAAUCCCUU